rnacentral:rRNA from 1 species
AGAGUUUGAUCCUGGCUCAGAGCGAACGCUGGCGGCAGGCCUAACACAUGCAAGUCGAACGAUCCUUCGGGAUAGUGGCGGACGGGUGAGUAACACGUGGGAACGUGCCCUUUGGUUCGGAAUAACUCAGGGAAACUUGAGCUAAUACCGGAUGUGCCCUUCGGGGGAAAGAUUUAUCGCCAUUGGAGCGGCCCGCGUUGGAUUAGCUAGUUGGUGGGGUAAAGGCCCACCAAGGCUACGAUCCAUAGCUGGUCUGAGAGGAUGAUCAGCCACACUGGGACUGAGACACGGCCCAGACUCCUACGGGAGGCAGCAGUGGGGAAUCUUGCGCAAUGGGCGAAAGCCUGACGCAGCCAUGCCGCGUGAAUGAUGAAGGUCUUAGGAUUGUAAAAUUCUUUCACCGGGGACGAUAAUGACGGUACCCGGAGAAGAAGCCCCGGCUAACUUCGUGCCAGCCGCCGCGGUAAUUC